UGAAAGCCGCCGUUCGUGGUGGGAGCGGGGCCGGGGCCGGACGCUGGGGGCCGGGGCGCCCGCGUCGAAGCGGGCGGCCACGUGUCCCGGCUGUGCCUUGGCCGCGCUGCCCGCGUGGGAGCCGAGGCCCGGACCCGGCCCGGCGGCGCCCGUCUCCGGCGUUCAAUUAUAUCUCGAAAAUAACUUUUAAAAUUGUGUAACGUGCUCUCGUGUGCAUAUCCCUUACGGGUUUGGGGCUUCGUGGACUUUGCAGCCCGCCUCAGUCCUUUGUUGCCUAGGGAGCCACGAGGGAAUUGGUUCCCUGGACAAACGUUUUCUGAGCGGGUGCUGCGUGCUAGGCACAGUGCCUGCGCGGGAUGCCCGGACUUGGUGCCCAGAGAUCGUCAGCGGGAGAAGUGAGAAGCAGCUUCAUGGAUUCCAGGUAAAUCGGAGGAGCAAGCAUCAUGAACAGAAGUAUGUACAGGAAAUGCGGUGGUGCUGAAGCCUAAGCGAUGUUGCAGAAGUCCAGGACCUGGUGCGCUUACCAGUUGGGAAUGUAUUAUUUCCCAAAUCACCUAAUCUUUCCUCAUGCUUAUAGGAGAAAAAUUCGCAGACUUCUCUUCUGAGGAUCCAGGGACGUAGAACAAUAACGCGAGGUGGCACAUCUCUUACCUAGUAUGUAGCAUUGGCUUGGAAGCUUAGAUGUCUUUCUUACUGUCAGACGUUUUAUUGAGAACACAGCUGUCAUCAUAAGAUUACAAGUAAACCCUGAGCAGGAAGAAUACCUGGCCUGCGUUCUGGGAACUUACAAUCGAAUAAAUCUUUCGCCUUCUAAAACCACCAUUGAGGGCGCUUGGGUGGCUCAGUCAGUUGAGCGUCUGACUUGAUUUCAGCUCCUGUCACGAUCUCUCGGUCCGUGGGU